rnacentral:rRNA from 1 species
GAUGAACGCUGGCGGCGUGCCUAAUACAUGCAAGUCGAGCGAACAGACGAGGAGCUUGCUCCUCUGACGUUAGCGGCGGACGGGUGAGUAACACGUGGAUAACCUACCUAUAAGACUGGGAUAACUUCGGGAAACCGGAGCUAAUACCGGAUAAUAUAUUGAACCGCAUGGUUCAAUAGUGAAAGACGGUUUUGCUGUCACUUAUAGAUGGAUCCGCGCCGCAUUAGCUAGUUGGUAAGGUAACGGCUUACCAAGGCAACGAUGCGUAGCCGACCUGAGAGAGUGAUCGGCCACACUGGAACUGAGACACGCUCCAGACUCCUACGGGAGGCAGCAGUAGGGAAUCUUACGCAAUGGGCGAAAGCCUGACGGAGCAACGCCGCGUGAGUGAUGAAGGUCUUCGGAUCGUAAAACUCUGUUAUUAGGGAAGAACAAAUGUGUAAGUAACUAUGCACGUCUUGACGGUACCUAAUCAGAAAGCCACGGCUAACUACGUG